rnacentral:lncRNA from 1 species
CUUUCUUCUUUCUUGCCUAUUCUUUUUUCCAAUUUCCAGCUCUUUCAUUCCAUCAACACAAGGCGUUUCUCCACUCUCCAGCACGCUCGAUCCCAACAAAGAACUCGGUUUAUCCUCCGCACCAUUUUGGUCCUAAAAAACACAUGGUGAAGUGAAUAUGGAUCCUAUGACAAGUGACUGGUAUAAUCCUUCCUCUUCGUUUUUCCAAUUGACUGUUGCAUCUAAAUCUUUUACGUGGCAUUUUCUCCUUAAAAUCUGAAUAUACGUUUCUCAGUCAUGUUAAGGGGUAUCUUAGUUGCUGAAGAUUAGUCAGCUUGGUUAAAAAGUCCCUUCUUCCGUUUUCCCUUUUGCUCUCUUUCUUCUCUUAAUUUUUAUUUUCGUUCUAAUUUGAUUUAUUUUCCCAGUUUCCCAAUUUUGUGAUAUGCAAUGUAGUGGUAUCAAAAACUACUGACCUUAUGGAUGUAAAGUUAGGACAUACAAAACAAGUUGUAGCUCUUAGAAGAAUGAAUCUUUGCUUCGUUUUCGAUUAUAGUUUGUCUUAGAUAGAAAAUCUUCUCGUGUUUUCUUUUGGUUGUAUGUUAUUUAAUGCUCUAUCUGGACCUAUCCUCUCCAGUCCUAUCUUAUAGUAAGAUUCACAUUCAAUUUGCUCUCUGCCAUAAAAUGUCAUAGAUUAUGAAGAGCAAUAAUAACAGCAUGAGUCUAGUUUGGAGAUUCUGUUCCUAUUUCAAGAGGAGAAAGAGAAGACAUGGAAGAAGCGGGUAAAGACUGAGUCAUCUUGAGAGAGAGAGAGAGACAGACAGACAGAGAGCGAGCGAGCGAGCUUACAGAGGCAAAGAAUCUGUAUUUAGUAGUUGGGGCUUAACAGAAGAAAUUAGCACUCAAGAUGCUAUGGUAAGUUUGUCUUGUAAGAAAUAAGUGGCUAGACGACAACUUUCAAAAUCGGCAUCUCAUAGAAAGUAUGUCCUUGCUCUUCAUUUUUUUUUCCCUCAACUGGUUACCUUGAUAUGUACCACAAGGGCUAAUUGAGUAUUCUAAGAGACAUGAAUAUUUUAUUGCUGACUUUUCGGAUCUCAAACUUAUAGAACCACAAGAGAAUCUUACCAGUUGCUCAUGUAAUUAUGUUGAUUGCAUUAGAUCAGAUAUGGCCCUUGGUGUGAUGCAAGGACCAGACCAUUUACACGACCAGGAAGCUCAUGAUGAUCCUAGAACUCUUGGGAUGGUCAGGUACAUGGAUGACAUAGAUGACUGUCUAUUUCUCAAAUUUUUGAUGCUCUUUCAGUGGUUUGAAAAAGAGCUUAUUGCAGUCAUUUGCCUAUCAUGUCUAAGCUGAAAAAGAUGGAUGCCUGCAAAUUGUCAAAUUGUCUAUUCGCUUUAUACUCUCUCAAGGUGUGGAGGCUCUGAUUUCAUGUUUAGCAGUGAGACGGAAGAUGGAAAAUCUAGAAUGGAGUAACUAGGUCAACAACCCAUGAAAUUUAACUAAUAUAUAUUUCCUUUGGAUAAUACCAAACUGAAAAUAUCUUUUUUAUGGAGCAAAAGGUGAGUAAAGAUGGCUAGUGAAAGUUCCUACCUAAGGAGACUAACAUCUGUAGUAAAGUACUCUGUUUUCCCUGUAUUGCUAUACUUUAACAGACCAGAAACAAAACUAAAAUUGUUCAAAUGGAUGCCUCAGGGAAUGCACAAAACAAUUUUUGUAAUAAAUUAGUAUUAAGAAAGGCAAGUAAAGGUCAAUGAUCUUGCAUUGGUGUUUAAUAACAAGACUCAGUGGAUAAGAUUUAACUCCUUUUAACCUUGUAAAUGUGCUAAAGUUUUGACUUGUUCACUCUCAAAUAUCUUUAAGUUCUACAGCUUCUGAUUGGUUUGCUAAAAUCUAUGAUGAUGUACUACUGAUUCUGGCUAUUUAUUUUCUUAAAAAAUGCAUAUUCAUGUACCUGCACAACUUUUAUUCAGAUUCUUUAUUUAGUAAUCCAAAUAUUUAGGAUUGAUUAUGGUAGGUAAAUUAUGAAGGACUUUAUUGAAAUAAUGAAAGAAUAAUUGUAUGAUAAAUAUGUGGAUGAAAAUGGUUUUGUUGAUU